rnacentral:rRNA from 1 species
UACAGAGGUCUCAAGCGUUGUUCGGAUUCAUUGGGCGUAAAGGGUGCGUAGGCGGCGCGGUAAGUCGGGUGUGAAAUCUUGGAGCUUAACUCCGAAACUGCAUUCGAUACUGCCGUGCUUGAGGACUGGAGAGGAGACUGGAAUUUACGGUGUAGCGGUGAAAUUCGUAGAUAUUCGCAAGAACACCAGUGGCGAAGGCGGCUCACUGGCCCGAUACUGACGCUGAGGCACGAAAGCGUGGGGAGCAAACAGG